rnacentral:rRNA from 1 species
UACGGAGGGUGCAAGCGUUAUCCGGAUUCACUGGGUUUAAAGGGUGCGUAGGUGGGUUGGUAAGUCCGUGGUGAAAUCCCCGAGCUUAACUUGGGAACUGCCAUGGAUACUAUCAGCCUUGAAUGUCGUGGAGAUGAGCGGAAUAUGUCAUGUAGCGGUGAAAUGCUUAGAUAUGAACAUAGAACACCAAUUGCGAAGGCAGCUCGUUACGCGAAUAUUGACACUGAUGCACGAAAGCGUGGGAUCAAACAGG